rnacentral:lncRNA from 1 species
ACACUAUUGGCCAGCUUGAUGUCAUCUUCUGUUCUUCGCCUGAUGAAGACUGGCUUUCCACGCCACUUGACUGUAACUGUAGUUCCUGGUUCGAUGCUCCCUAGGUCAACCUCAAGGGAUGCAAGGGCAAGGACAUCUUUACUUGCGGACAUACUCACAACAAGCUUCAAAACAAGCAGGCGGAUGACAGAGGCAUAAACAAACCUCCCACCCGACAAGACAAAAUAGGCGAAUGCACGCUUGCUGGGGUCACCAGGCGGGUAACGCUCAUGGUUAUGGUUGUCAUAGACAAUCUUUGAGUUAGGUGUUUUGACAGCUUCGACAGUGGCUGGGACUUCCGAAGCAAAACCUAUCUCAUUUCCUUGAGUAAGGACUUGAGAAGCGAAACCUGUAAAUAGCAUGACACAUUAAUAUAUAAACAUCAAGGCAAACUCUAUAUUUGGUCAAUUGUUCUAGAAGAAUAAGUAUUAAGCAACAAAGGACUACCACUAUCAAGAUGUGACCAUUAAUGUAUAAGCUUUUAAGGAAAAACAAAAGUACAUAAAAACGGAACCCAUGAGGUAUGAGAUGCAGGAUUAUAAGAGAUCCAUCCACCAAACAAUUCUACAAUCGUAUCAAACACAGGGGGAUUGAAAACUUAACAACUCUAAUCACCGUAGAAAACAAGAAAACAAAUUCAAUGAUCAACAUUGAAACACAACGAGAACAGAAAAUUGGCAUCAAGAAGCCAGUGUGAAUCACACUAUGGAUAACGCAACCCAGGGAUUUAAAAAAAAGAAGCUUUCCUCAUCAACCAAAGGAUUAUCUCUAAACAGGUCAAUUCAUAUUCCAUCAAUAAACUCAAAUGUCCAUUUGCUUCAGGACGAAAGAAGUAAUCAGAGAAGGCAAGUAUACCAAAUUCAUCCAAACAAUUCAACCAUAUCAAAUUCAGUGAAAGCUAAAAUACUAUAAUCACCGUAAUACACCAAGAAAAAAAAACUCAUAGAUCAAAUUACAGAAAUGCUUAAAACACAAAAAAACUCCCAUCCUAAGAACGCAAACCUCUCUUUGGUUAAGAGAACAUAAAAUUCAGAAUGCAAAUUUCUCAUCACGCCUUUAAAAAGCUAUAAAUCCUACAAAGAUAGUAUAUAAUAUAUAAAACAUACAUGUCCCUAACAAUGAAAAAAUACAGAUAUGGAUACACAGGAUCAAAUAUUCAGAAAUCAAGAAGCCAGUGUGAGUCAUACUAUGAUUAACGCACCCAAAACAGGAAACUUUCAUCGUAAAACGAAGGAAUAUCUCAGAACUGAACAAUCUACACGAAAGAAAAGCAAAGCAAUUCGAGCAAGGAGAAGAAAGUAACGAAAUGGUACAUGAAGCUCUAAUACACAUCAGGGAAUUCAAAUCAGAUGACAAGUUUGUUCCCACAGAUACGAUACUAGGAAUCUCAAUUAUUCCCGUGAUUCAUACAAGCAAGCAAAAAAAAAAAAAAAAAAAAGACAUUUUUUCAAAAAUCAAUCAAUCAAAUAAAACUGCUAACAACACCAGAAAUGAAAAAUCAAUGCAGAGAGAGAGAGAGAAAGGGCUGUUAUAGAUCGGCAAACCUCUGAUAAGGCUCCGGUGGUAAGAUGAGAGAUCAGCAGCGGGGACGGAUCUGGGAGCUGAAGAGGAGUCGCCGCCGCCAUCGGAAAGGGAAUGGUCACGGGAGACGACGAAGGAGGUCGCAGACGAAGAUCUCUGGGAAACAGAGAAAAGCCUCCUCCCUGCUACACGCAGCAUCUCUGCUCAAUGUGAAUCUAGGGUUUCGCUCUAGCUCAACAGAAGAAAUCCUCAGGUUUGGGACGGCUGAUGCAAAACACAAGACUUGUCCCUUAAAAUUUCUCUUUUAGAAAAGGUCAAUUUCUUUUUGUUUUUUCUUUUUACGUAUUAAUUAAUUCAUAUUUUGUAUAUUAAAAUUAUACUUAUGGCAUUUUAUUUUAUUUUGAUCUUUUUUUUUGGUUUUACAAUAAUAAUUUACUUAAAUUUUUCAUUUUUUAAGUAGAAUUGAGAUAAAAUUAUAUUUUACCUGACAUACAUAAUUUUAUCUGACUUUAAUAAAAAGGUGAUAAAUUAGAAAUACUUGAUAAAAUAGUAAUUUUUAAUAAUAAUAUUAGAUGGUGUAUACAUUCUGAAUUUCUGAUUGUUGUAAUGUUUUUUUUCCUUUUUAUUUCUUUUUUUUUUUUUUAAUGUUAAAAACUAGAUUUCCAACACAAAAAAAAAAUGACACAAUCAGAAUAUGACAGCUUUCAUCAAAAAAGUAGUCUCGAAUCGAUGUUCACAAAUUUGAUGGAAAAGGAGAUUUCUCACCAUAGAAGCGAAAGUUUAUGACUUUGUUGAGAUUUGAAGUGGUCUUCCAAAUGUUGUCUCCAGAUAAAACAUGAAAGGUUUAAAACACACCUUGAACCUUAGGAAGUUUUUGGCUCAAUUAUGAUAAUGGCUACAAACUCAAGGAAACGAUAUGUUACAUAUGAAUACAAAAGAAAAAUAGGCAUGAUACUAUUCAAAACUCUUUUCAAAUAAUAAACAGAGGCUAUGAACAGUGUAUUUCAACAGAUGAGACGGUCAUACAAUGACAAGUUUGUAUUAUUCAGCAAAACAAGACAAUCUUGCUGAGAGUCCAAAGUGUGAGGGAAGCGACCUUGCACGCUAAAAUGCCGGAAAAUAUUAAAACAAAAACAGAUUUAAGAUCAUUCAGACCAAGACCAAGACACUGAUUGUUGCGCUUUUACUCAUCAACCAAUGAGUAACUUAUUCUCUUCCAAGAAGCUGUAGGUUGGUACUUCCAGGUUGUAUGGUGCAGGACCUUUCCUAAUUCUUCCGGAGAUAUCAUAAUGCGAACCGUGACACGGACAAAACCAACCGCCAUAAUCACCAGCAUUAGGCAAGGGGAUGCACCCCAAAUGAGUGCAUACUCCAACCACAAUUAACCAUUCUGGAUUCUUGACUCUAACCGAGUCUUCUUGUGGGUCCCUCAAGGAUCCAACAUCCACACUAUUGGCCAGCUUAAUGUCAUCUUCUGUUCUUCGCCUGAUGAAGACUGGCUUUCCACGCCACUUGACUGUCACGGUAGUUCCUGGUUCGAUGCUCCCUAGGUCAACCUCAAGGGAUGCAAGGGCAAGGACAUCUUUACUUGCAGACAUGCUCACAACAAGCUUCAGAACAAGCAGGCGGAUAACCGAGGCAUAAACAAACCUCCCACCCGACAAGACAAAAUAGGCGAAUGCACGCUUGCUAGGGUCACCAGGUGGGUAACGCUCAUGGUUAUGGUCGUCAUAGACAAUCUUUGAGUUAGGUGUUUUGACAGCUUCGACAGUGGCUGGGACUUCCGAAGCAAAACCUAUCUCAUUUCCUUGAGUAAGGACUUGAGAAGCGAACCCUGUAAAUAGCAUGUAAGAUUAAUAUAUAAACAUCAAGGCAAACUUUUUUUCUGGUCAACUGGUCAACAACAAAAAGUAGUAAGCAAAAAUAUGUUGAAGAAAUAACACUAAAGAAAGGACUACCAGUAUCAAGAUUUGACAUUAAUGUAUAUGCUCCUAUACAAAAACAUAAGCACACAAAACGGAUACCAAGAGGUAACAGAAUUCUACCAUGAUAUUCAGAUCAAGUGAAAACUAAACUACUCUAUCUAACGCAAAAUCCAAGGAAACAAAUUUAAUGAUCAGAAAUGCUUAAAACACAACAAAACUCCUAAGAUAAGAUUGCAAACAUAGGUCUUUUGGUUAACAAAAUUAAAUUCCAGAUUCCUUUGCUGAUGCAAGUGACUCAGAGAAAACUAAACUAUUCUAUCCAACGCAAAAUCCAGUGAUCAGAAAUGCUUAAAACACAAUAAAACUCCUAAGAUAAGAUUACAAACAUAGCUCUGUUGGAUAACAAAAAUGGAAUUCCAGAUUCCUUCGCUGAUGCCUUUUUAGCUGCUAUAAAUCCUCCAAACCAGGUAUCUAGUAAUAUGAGGUGCCCAAAGACGAUAAAACAUCCAUUUACCUAAUAAUGAAUAAACUACAUGGAUACACAAGAUCAAAAUCGAUUAUCUCACUCAUCAAACAAAGGAUUAACUCAAAACUGGUCAAUUCAUAUCCGAUCAAUCACUAUUCCAGUAAAGAGAAGAAUGAAACGAAAUGGUACAUGAAGCUCUAAUACACAUAAUGGAAAUUCAAAAGAAAUGACAGAUUUUAAUCCCACGGAUCAUCUCGCAGCUACGAGAUACUAGGAAUAUCAAUCACUCCGGGGACUAAUACAAGCCCCCCAAAAAAAAAAGUGAUUUUUUUUAUAAUUUCUGAAUCAUUCAAUCAAUACCACCAGAAAGAAAAUCAAUCAAGAGUUGUAGAUCGGCAGACCUC